rnacentral:rRNA from 1 species
UACGUAGGCAGCAAGCGUUGUUCGGAGUUACUGGGCGUAAAGGGUGCGUAGGCGGCUAUUUAAGUUUGGUGUGAAAUCUCCCGGCUCAACCGGGAGGGUGCGCCGAAUACUGAGUGGCUAGAGUGCGGGAGAGGAAAGUGGAAUUCCUGGUGUAGCGGUGAAAUGCGUAGAUAUCAGGAGGAACACCGGUGGUGUAAACGCUUUCUGGACCGUAACUGACGCUGAGGCACGAAAGCGUGGGUAGCAAACAGG